rnacentral:rRNA from 1 species
UUACGGGGUGCAGCAGGCGCGAAAACUUGGCAAUGCGAGAAAUCGUGACCAGGGAACUCCAAGUGCAUGGGGUAAGACCCAUGCUUUUCUUGACUCUAAAUAGGUCUUGGAAUAAGGGGUGGGUAAGGACGGUGCCAGCCGCCGCGGUAAUACCGGCGCCUCAAGUGGUAGUCGCUUUUAUUGGGCCUAAAACGUCCGUAGCCGGUCUGAUACAUUCGUGGGUAAAUCAACCAGCUUAACUGGUUGAAUUCUGCGAGGACGGUCAGACUUGGGACCGGGAGAGGUGUGGGGUACGCUCAGGGUAGGGGUAAAAUCCUGUCAUCCUGAGCGGACCACCUGUUGCGAAGGCGCCACACUAGAACGGAUCCGACGGUCAGGGACGAAGCCUAGGGGCACGAACCGGAUUAGAUACCCGGGUAGUCCUAGGUGUAAACGCUGUGGACUUGAUGUUGGGGGUGCUCCGAGCACUCUCAGUGUCGAAGCGAAGGCGAUAAGUCCACCGCCUGGGAAGUACGGUCGCAAGGCUGAAACUUAAAGGAAUUGGCGGGG